CAUCGACCAACACCGCACGGCAGGAGCGGGGGACCCAGGUAAGUCGCCGCACCGGAGAUCACACCGGUACGGCUAGGGGUUGAGUCGUGCCGCCUCAGGGCGGCACGGCCGGGCAUCUCCCGCCCGAACCCGACAGCUCACCUCGCAGGCGCCGGAGAGGAACA
rnacentral:sRNA from 2 species